rnacentral:rRNA from 1 species
GGGUCAGUAGGUUGGUCGUGCCACCGGUACGUACUGGUCUCACUGAUUCCUCCUCCCUGAAGAACCGUAAUGCCAUUAAUUUGGUGUUGCGGGGAAACAGGACUGUCACUUUGAAAAAAUUAGAGUGUUUAAAGCAAGCUAACGCUUGAAUACAUUAGCAUGGAAUAAUGAAAUAGGACGAUCGAUCCUAUUUUGUUGGUUUCUAGGAUUGACGUA